UUUGCUGCUGGAGCUAUACUUUAAGGUCAACAUUUUCUCCAGGAGGGUAUCUUCGGCUGCGGGAAAGUCAUCAACAUGGACUGUUCCAGUGAACAUGCAGUCUUGAUUUGUAAGACUAAACUGUCCAACAAACUUCACGGAAAUUAUGCAAGACAUGGGUGAGAGUUUGAGAAUUCAUCUGUAUGGGAUCCCUAUAGAGGAGAGCUUUUCAAAAUUAUACCAGUUAUGCUGACCAGCAAACAUUCAGCAAGUACAUCCAGUACAAUCGACCCUGUCACCUUUGUUCGGUCGGAAGGAAUCUGAGAAAGUAAUCUUCAAUACACAGCUUUUUUUCGAGCAAAACUUUUAAAUUUGCCGCACAGAUGUGACGUAUACGCCUCUGUCUGUGUUGUGAGGACCCUACGUCACAAAAAAUGUCGCGCAAUGCAUUGUGAGAGGAACCGGCUCGAUCAUUCACUUGUUUUUUGCUCAUUAAAGCCUUACUGCACUCCUUUUAGCUACUUGCUC